rnacentral:rRNA from 1 species
AGGGUUUGAUCAUGGCUCAGGAUGAACGCUGGCGGCGUGCUUAACACAUGCAAGUCGAACGAACCUUCGGGUUAGUGGCGGACGGGUGAGUAACGCGUGAGAAUCUGCCCUCAGGAGGGGGAUAACGGUUGGAAACGACCGCUAAUACCCCAUAUGCCUACUGGUGAAACGAAUUUCGCCUGAGGAUGAGCUCGCGUCUGAUUAGCUUGUUGGUGAGGUAAUGGCUCACCAAGGCUUCGAUCAGUAGCUGGUCUGAGAGGAUGAUCAGCCACACUGGGACUGAGACACGGCCCAGACUCCUACGGGAGGCAGCAGUGGGGAAUUUUCCGCAAUGGGCGAAAGCCUGACGGAGCAACGCCGCGUGAGGGACGAAGGCCUCUGGGCUGUAAACCUCUUUUCUCAAGGAAGAAGAUAUGACGGUACUUGAGGAAUAAGCCACGGCUAAUUCCGUGCCAGCAGCCGCGGUAAUACGGGAGUGGCAAGCGUUAUCCGGAAUUAUUGGGCGUAAAGCGUCCGCAGGCGGCUUUUCAAGUCUGCUGUUAAAGCGUGGAGCUUAACUCCAUCAUGGCAGUGGAAACUGAAAGGCUUGAGUAUGGUAGGGGCAGAGGGAAUUCCCGGUGUAGCGGUGAAAUGCGUAGAUAUCGGGAAGAACACCAGUGGCGAAGGCGCUCUGCUGGGCCAUUACUGACGCUCAUGGACGAAAGCCAGGGGAGCGAAAGGGAUUAGAUACCCCUGUAGUCCUGGCCGUAAACGAUGAACACUAGGUGUCGGGGGAAUCGACCCCUUCGGUGUCGUAGCUAACGCGUUAAGUGUUCCGCCUGGGGAGUACGCACGCAAGUGUGAAACUCAAAGGAAUUGACGGGGGCCCGCACAAGCGGUGGAGUAUGUGGUUUAAUUCGAUGCAACGCGAAGAACCUUACCAGGGUUUGACAUCCUGCGAACCUCUUAGAAAUUUGAGGGUGCCUUCGGGAAUGCAGUGACAGGUGGUGCAUGGCUGUCGUCAGCUCGUGUCGUGAGAUGUUGGGUUAAGUCCCGCAACGAGCGCAACCCACGUUUUUAGUUGCCAGCAUUUAGUUGGGCACUCUAGAAAGACCGCCGGUGAUAAACCGGAGGAAGGUGUGGAUGACGUCAAGUCAUCAUGCCCCUUACACCCUGGGCUACACACGUACUACAAUGCUACGGACAAAGGGCAGCAAACUCGCGAGAGCUAGCAAAUCCCAUAAACCGUGGCUCAGUUCAGAUCGUAGGCUGCAACUCGCCUACGUGAAGUAGGAAUCGCUAGUAAUCGCAGGUCAGCAUACUGCGGUGAAUACGUUCCCGGGCCUUGUACACACCGCCCGUCACACCAUGGAAGUUGGCCAUGCCCGAAGUCGUUACUCCAACCCUUGUGGAGGAGGACGCCGAAGGUGGGGCUAAUGACUGGGGUGAAGUCGUAACAAGGUAACCGUA